AAAUUGAAGAGUUUGAUCAUGGCUCAGAUUGAACGCUGGCGGCAGGCCUAACACAUGCAAGUCGAACGGUAGCACAGAGGAGCUUGCUCCUUGGGUGACGAGUGGCGGACGGGUGAGUAAUGUCUGGGAAACUGCCCGAUGGAGGGGGAUAACUACUGGAA
rnacentral:rRNA from 1 species